rnacentral:lncRNA from 1 species
UAUAUCAUUACAAAGGAAUAUCGUAAUCCCUACUGUUUUCUCAUAGGAUGUAGGAGUAGACGCGGGCGCAAUUUCGGCCACUAACCAUGAAAACGUAAAGCGGGAAUUCCUUAUAGAUGGAAACGUGGCAAGGGGGUCGUUUGGGGUCAACAAUGGUGAUGUGAUAUUCACUGACCCAAACCAUGUGGGCUAUCUGCAAUGUUAAAACUUAAAAGCAAAGGUGCUACGUGGGAUAUAUGCCUGAUGAUUUUCACCCGACCCCCACACGGGCACGGCACCGCACGUCUGCCAAAAUGGUCAACAGAUUAAAGACCCCAAAGAAAUUGAAAUAAAUAAACCAACCCUCAAGACUGGUAAACGCCUCCUCUCUCAGGGCCCGGGCGCCAAACGUCCAGGCCUGCAACAAGCUUAUGUUCAGUCACACAGUUACCAAGUACAAAUUUAGCCAACCAAUACAAUGUUGUGCAACAGUGAAUUAUCAAAUCGGGGGUUGCGACCACCCCAUUCUGUGCCGAUUUAUGCCAUGCCACGCCUGUUACUGUAGUUAAUUCGUACAUGUUUAGAUCAAUUUUCCUUUCCUAACUGGUGGUGCUGCUUUGAUAUGACUGUAGAUUUAGUGAAGUUGAGAAUUGAACUAUGACUCCGACAAAUCCUCUUUCAGAGAUUUACAAUAUUGUCAAGGGGACAAUAUGACGAUUAUUAUCAACGCAAAAAGAUAAGAGUAAUAAAAGAUCAAUAGAUCAUGCAUCUCCCAGCACGAAGGUUCUUCUGACAAAUACUUUGGAAUGGCAACCAAACUGCUCAUGUGAAUUAGUUUUCCAUGUAAGCCAGCAUGCUUCCAAAUUCAAGCACUACAUUUUCAAGUUCAAGUUUGAGCUUCAAUCGCUGUAGUUCAUUGGCAACGUAUGCCCUCAAUAAUCGAUUCUUAAUAAUGGUUGGGACGCGAUUUCUCUUUUGAAUAAGAGUUUAUAUAUCUCCUCACAUUUAGGAUAAAAUAGAUUUAUCAUUAAUAUUAAGUGAAAAUCGAAUUUAAACUGUACCAUAAUAAA